rnacentral:rRNA from 1 species
AACGAACGCUGGCGGCAGGCCUAACACAUGCAAGUCGAGCGAAGCCUUCGGGCUUAGCGGCGGACGGGUGAGUAACGCGUGGGAACGUGCCCUUUGGUACGGAAUAGCCCCGGGAAACUGGGAGUAAUACCGUAUGUGGCCGAGAGACGAAAGAUUUAUCGCCAAAGGAUCGGCCCGCGUUGGAUUAGGUAGUUGGUGGGGUAAUGGCCUACCAAGCCGACGAUCCAUAGCUGGUUUGAGAGGAUGAUCAGCCACACUGGGACUGAGACACGGCCCAGACUCCUACGGGAGGCAGCAGUGGGGAGUCUUAGACAAUGGGGGAAACCCUGAUCUAGCCAUGCCGCGUGAUCGAUGAAGGCCUUAGGGUUGUAAAGAUCUUUCAGUGGGGAAGAUAAUGACUGUACCCACAGAAGAAGCCCCGGCUAACUCCGUGCCAGCCGCCGCUGUAAAAC